rnacentral:rRNA from 1 species
GGAUUCCCCUAGUAACGGCGAGUGAAGAGGGAAGAGCCCAGCACCGAAGCCUGCGGCAGUUUUGCUGCUAGGCAAUGUGGUGUUUGGGUCGGCUCGUGGGACCGCCACUCCACUCGAAGUCCAGCAUUGAGUAUGGUUACUGGAUUUGGCCCAGAGAGGGUGAAAGGCCCGUACGGGUGGAGGUUCAGACAUGUAAGGCGGUUCACCAGGUCGGCCUUAGAGUCGGGUUGUUUGGGAAUGCAGCCCAAAGUGGGUGGUAAACUCCAUCCAAGGCUAAAUACUAGCACGAGUCCGAUAGCGAACAAGUACCGUGAGGGAAAGUUGAAAAGUACUCUGAAGAGAGAGUAAACAGUACGUGAAACCGCAUGCAGGUAAACGGGUGGCGUCAAGCUGCAAGCCCGGAGGAUUCAGCCAGCUAGGAUGUUGUGUAUGCGCCUGGCGCAUCUAUCAGUCGGAGUAUGAUUGGAUAGUCCACCGGGAGACGGUGGGUCUGGCCGCAAGGUCAGGAUAUGUGUACCGGGUGGGUGCCGGAGCAUGCUAUUCGUCUGGGGGCUGUCUAGCUGUGCACUUUCUCCGUGGUGAACACCACGACCGGUGGAAUUGCCAGUCUGCUGUGUCCAAGUCGUGUUUGGUUGGUCCUUGUGGCUAAUUGGGUGCGAUCACAGGCAAACUUCUCAGUAAACGGCGUAGAGGUGUUUCGGCAUCUUUGCGUGUCAUCGGCUACUGGUUGUCAACGGGCCUGCUCAGUGUUUGUUGUAAAUGCUGCCGACAUUGAGUGGUCUGGUGGGGCAUGGUGGUAAGAAAAACUGUGCAAGGCACCGGGGUUAUCGGCCUCAAAUGUUGCAUCACGCGCCCAUGUUACAAAUGGCUUAGUGGCGGUGCUAUUGCUGUUUGCCCGAUGUUGAGUGUGAUUGUCGUGUCGCCUGCAAAAAGUAGGUCCGGCGGUGGCUUAAUUCGGGAUGAACAGUGGAUGGUGUUGUCAGUGUGGGAUGUGGUGGGCCAAAUAGU